GACGAACCGUGCAAACGUUGUUCGGAAUCACUGGGCUUAAAGGGCGCGUAGGCGGGCAAGCAAGUCCGGGGUGAAAUCUUUCGGCUCAACCGGAAAAGUGCCUUGGAUACUGCUUGUCUGGAGGGAGGUAGGGGCAUGUGGAACUUCUGGUGGAGCGGUGAAAUGCGUUGAUAUCAGAAGGAACACCGGUGGCGAAGGCGGUUCUCUGGGCCUUACCUGACGCUGAGGAGCGAAAGCAUGGGGAGCAAACAGG
rnacentral:rRNA from 1 species